rnacentral:snRNA from 1 species
GAUCAAAGUGUAGUAUCUGUUCUUAUCAGCUUAAUAUCUGAUACGCAUCCGAUNAGGAGCCAGAAUAUUAAACUUAUUUUUGGGAACUGGCGGAGUGCUAGGAGCUUGCUCCACCUCUGCCGCGGGUUGGC